CCCAAUGUUUCGCAACCGUACAGCAGUACAGAGAGGAUACAGCUCGAUUAGAUCCUGAACUUGGUUGUCGUGCCGAGAUGAUGUUGAUUCCGUAUUCAUUGUAAACGACCCAUGGCAGAGGCUGCAAUGCCACACUCAGGCACCUAAAUAAAUGGCCUGACCUUUCUCAAAUGCUGAAUACCAAGAACUUCUCACUCGAAUCUGCCGAAGCCGUGGCUGUUCAGCUCCUCUGAAAAUCAAUCCACUCGUUUAGAUGCCUGAAUAGGAAUGUUAGUGCCAGACUUUGGACAGUGACAUAGGAAGACAUUGGCCUGAGCCUAUGCAUGGACUCUCAUCCUACAAUCCAGCCCCUCAACAGAUACAUCCCAGCUUCUGACUGUGAGCCAUUCAGCUACAAUGGGGAGGCCUAGAUGCUAGCCCCACAUGAGAGAGGGAAGGAUUUCAGGCCCAAGGCCCAAGUGGGGCAGGAAGAAGCACACGCUCACCUCAGUUGCCUUCUUUGCUGAGGGCGCACUGUCCAGCACGCCGGCAGACAGACCCAGAUCAGAAGGCCUGGACUUGGUACGUGAACG